rnacentral:rRNA from 1 species
AGUGAACGCUGGCGGUAGGCCUAACACAUGCAAGUCGAACGGCAGCACAGUAAGAGCUUGCUCUUACGGGUGGCGAGUGGCGGACGGGUGAGGAAUACAUCGGAAUCUACUUUUUCGUGGGGGAUAACGUAGGGAAACUUACGCUAAUACCGCAUACGACCUACGGGUGAAAGCAGGGGAUCUUCGGACCUUGCGCGAUUGAAUGAGCCGAUGUCGGAUUAGCUAGUUGGCGGGGUAAAGGCCCACCAAGGCGACGAUCCGUAGCUGGUCUGAGAGGAUGAUCAGCCCCACUAGAACUGAGACACGGUCCAGACUCCUACGGGAGGCAGCAGUGGGGAAUAUUGGACAAUGGGCGCAAGCCUGAUCCAGCCAUACCGCGUGGGUGAAGAAGGCCUUCGGGUUGUAAAGCCCUUUUGUUGGGAAAGAAAAGCAGCAGGUUAAUACCCCGCUGUUCUGACGGUACCCAAAGAAUAAGCACCGGCUAACUUCGUG